rnacentral:rRNA from 1 species
GACGAACGCUGGCGGCGUGCUUAACACAUGCAAGUCGAACGAGUGGCGAACGGGUGAGUAAUACGUGAGUAACCUGCCCUCUUUUUGGGAUAAGCCUUGGAAACGGGGUCUAAUACCGGAUAACGGGGGAUGGGCUCGCGGCCUAUCAGCUUGUUGGUGGGGUGAUGGCCUAACAAGGCGGUGACGGGUAGCCGGCCUGAGAGGGUGACCGGCCACCUGUGGACUGAGUGAUGGCCCAGAGUCCUACAGGAGGCAGCUGUGGGGGAUGUUGCACAAUGGGCGAAUGCUGGAUGCAGCGACGCCACAUGGGGUAUGAAGACGUUCGUUUUGUAAACCUCUUUCGCUAUCGAACGAAUAGGUGGAGAGGAAGCGCCGGCUAACUACGUGCCAGCAGCCGCGGUAAUUC